rnacentral:lncRNA from 1 species
GUGGGGGAAAAUAUGUACAUUACAUACUGAAAUAAUAGAAAUAAGCACUGGUUCCUAGCUAUUGUUACUAAAACCAAAUGGAAGCUUCUUUGUUGGAAUGGUUGCUAAAAUGUUCUCAGCACAUGUUGGAAAAUAUUUUAAUGGACUCUUGGCUGGAAGGCUCCAGUCAUGAGUCCAAAGUCUUCUCUCUAGUGGGUCUCUGUAACUUCCAAAAGCUGGUGCGAGGGAGAGUUGCAGCUUGGGAGAGUGGCCCCUCAGCAGCUGCAGCACGCCAAGAUUCUGGCUGGGUUUCCGAGGCACCUGUUGUCCAAAUCAAGACCAUCAGUCACUUCUCCCUUCCUCCUCCCAACGAUGGGAAAGUAGCUCAGAUGCACAAUUGAUUCUGUUCCCACUUAAGUCCCUAAGAAAGGGGCUGCUUCGUGUACAUUUUCUCCCAGUCCCUUUUACCCAGCGUCUCCCAGAUUAAGUGAGCAGCACACUAAUUAGGCCUGAGAUCAACAUGACAACUCGGGUUCUUUCCAGCAGUCUGGUGCAAGUGACUAUUCACUUUGUCAUCUAUCAGGGCAGGCUUCAGCCUAAAGCUCAAUGCCCAUCAAUGCUCCCACAGAGGAUGAAGCCCAUGAUGCCACGUCUGGUCCUCUGCACAGCAGGGGAUAACAACACUCUGGCCUGCAAUCAUCCUGGCCCCUCUCCUUCUUCCUGUAAUGCCAACGAAGGUCCUGUUUAAGAGUUCAGCCAAAGGUGAACACUGGCUGGAUGAGGAGCAGCAGGAAGCUGCAGCUCCGGGUCUCUCUGUAGAGGGCUACCUUCCUGUCUCAAAGCUGCCCAACUAGCUGUUUCCAGACAUGUCUAUGAAAUGUUUAGUCCCACAAAUGCUGUGCCCUGCAGCUAGGAGAGAUGCAAAGUGAACUGAAGAUAUGGUCCAGUCUCCAAGGAGAUUACUAUCUAGGGGAGAAUUUACAUGCAUAAAAACAUGGACUAGAAACAAAGGUCAAGGCCCCCGACUGCACCGACACACAGCCGUCUGGUUUGGAUCAUGCAACACCACUCUGUGCCUUAUGUUGAUAUGAAAACCUGGGCAUCCCCAGUCUCAGCUGCUCUGAGCAUUUGGACUCUAUCUUGUCAAGGAAGAAAGAACACUUUGUGACUGUAUUUUUAGGGAGCACAAGGCAAGGCACUAAACAAUCUGGCCUACCAAUCACCCUAAGAAUCUUGAAUGUUUUGCUUUUAACUCUAUUUCCUUCCCUUAGCAUGAAUUUUUAUUUUAUCUUAUUUUAUUUUUUGAGAUGGAG